UACGGGGGGGGCAAGCGUUGUUCGGAAUUACUGGGCGUAAAGGGCGCGUAGGCGGCCUGCUAAGUCGGAUGUGAAAUCCCUCGGCUCAACCGAGGAACUGCAUCCGAUACUGGCGGGCUUGAAUCCGGGAGAGGGAUGUGGAAUUCCAGGUGUAGCGGUGAAAUGCGUAGAUAUCUGGAGGAACACCGGUGGCGAAGGCGGCAUCCUGGACCGGUAUUGACGCUGAGACGCGAAAGCGUGGGGAGCGAACAGG
rnacentral:rRNA from 1 species